GAUUCGGACGUCCCAGUAUUUUGGGUCCUCGAGACCUCACAUGGACGAGUCGAGGAAGUGCUAUAGAUACACACAUUUAUUUAUGUUUGGUAUAAACAGCGAAUGUGGACUAAUGUGAGUUUCCAAAAGGUAUAAUACUUAAAACUAGUUUUUUGCUGCAAUGACUGUAGUGAUUGGAUUUGAGGGCAGUGCCAAUAAGAUUGGCAUUGGGAUCAUCAGGGAUGGAGAAGUUCUUUCCAACCCUAGACGGACCUACAUUACACCUCCUGGAGAAGGCUUCCAGCCCAGUGACACAGCCAGACAUCAUCGCUCUGUUAUACUGACGGUCUUAAAGGAGGCUCUGGAGGAAGCAGCUAUAGAACCUUCUGACAUUGACUGCGUGGCGUAUACAAAAGGUCCUGGCAUGGGUGCCCCCUUAGUCAUAGUUGCUGUGGUAGCUCGCACAGUGGCCCAGUUGUGGGGGAAACCCCUCGUCGGUGUCAACCACUGCAUCGGUCACAUCGAGAUGGGCCGACUCAUCACUAAAGCCAACAACCCCACCGUGCUUUAUGUCAGCGGCGGGAACACGCAGGUCAUCGCGUACUCUGAGCGGCGGUACAGAAUCUUUGGAGAGACCAUCGACAUCGCGGUCGGGAACUGCUUGGACAGAUUUGCCAGAGUUAUCAAGAUUUCAAACGAUCCCAGUCCAGGCUACAACAUCGAACAGCUGGCCAAGAAAGGCUCUCAAUAUGUGGAGUUGCCAUAUACUGUCAAAGGAAUGGAUGUCUCAUUUUCUGGGAUACUGUCCUACAUUGAGGAAGCUGCUAAUAAAAUGCUUGGAUCCCGUCAGUGUACAGCAGAGGACUUGUGCUUCUCCCUACAGGAGACGGUUUUCGCAAUGCUGGUGGAAAUCACAGAGCGGGCCAUGGCUCACUGCGGCUCUCAGGAGGUUCUCAUUGUCGGUGGUGUUGGCUGUAACCUGCGUCUCCAGGAGAUGAUGGGGGUCAUGUGCAAGGAAAGAGGAGCCAAACUUUUUGCCACAGAUGAAAGAUUCUGUAUCGACAAUGGCGCCAUGAUCGCUCAGGCCGGCUGGGAAAUGUUUCGAUCCGGCCAAGUGACCGAGUUGGAGGACUCGUGGAUCACACAGAGAUAUAGAACAGAUGAAGUGGAGGUGACAUGGAGAGAUUAAUUGGCAGAAAGCAUCACAGACACUUUGAGGGAAAAGUUUUGACUCCAUCAGAUCUUCUCUCAGCUCAUCCAGCCUCUCACGCAGUUGGACCAUCUCCUCCUCUUCCUUAACACACACAGAAGAGAAGAUCUUGCCGUGUCCUGCAACAUAUCAACAUGUCAACUUACCGGUACGUUUGAUCCCGCGUCCGUGACGCCGAAUGGGUUCUGCGUAGAGGUGAGGACGGCGGGUCCGAAACUGAAGGCUGAGCCCUGGUCGGCCAGCAGGAGGCGACGGAACUCGUUGUGUUUCCGUUGGAGCUCUCGCAUUCUUCUGCGGAGCUGAGCGUGCUCCUCGGAGUGAAGUGGACGUCUGGAAACAAAGGCUUGGCUUCCAGUUUCAGCUCCUCCAUUUGAGCCUUCAACAGUUGGAUCUUAUGCUGCAAGCUCUUCUCUUUGUUCUCCGUCUGGGUUCUUCUCUGCAUCACAAAAGCUUGUGUUUCUCCUCCAGCCACUCGAUUCGAUUCUCUUCCACCCGCCUGCCGCAGGAACACAUUGCAGGAUGGACACCAUGACAAAAAAAAAAAAUCGAGGUAGUUUUUUUACAUACCGCUCUGCCUCAUGUUGGCUCCUCUCAGCUUGGGUUCGGGCAGUCCUCAGUUCCUCCCUCACUCCGUCCACUUUGGCUUUCAGGCGCAGAUUUGCUUCCAUCAACUCGGCUUCGGAGCGCGACAACGUGCCCAGCUCUGCACACAGCUCCUCGUUUUUCUGUUAUGAGAAAAAUCCUCAGCUGAUUGAAUAACUUCGCAUUUUGAGCGGGCACAUUCCAGUUUGACGCUGGCCACCUCCAUUUUGUGGGAAUGCGUCAGGCUUUCGAUCUGUCAGGAGCGCCGCAAAGCACAGUUGUCCAGUGAGCUGACUGUUCUGUUCGUGGCUCAGCCGGAGUUCGCUCUCCAUCCGCUCCAAUCGCGAGCGUAAAGAUUGACGCUCCGCCUGGAACGUUCAAACAACUUUCAGUUAUGUCUCACCGCGCAGCCAUGGAAGGCUGGAUGUUGCGACCUCCAGAGAUUUCAGAGCAGCCUGAGACUCCGCCAGUUGCCGGUUCUGAACCCGCUGAACGUUCUCCGCCUGCUGCUCCGAGUGGUCCUUCUGAGCUUGCAGCUCGGCCACCUCUGCCUGCAGAGCCUUCGAGCGCAAGACCUCUUCCAAUCUGCCGAAGCGUUCUCUGACUGGACCCUCCAUCUCCUGUUGCACCUGAGCUCUGAGCAACUCCAGACGCUGAGGAGUCAUCACCUGAAUUUCUCUUGUGCGCUCAGCUAACUGCAACUGGAGCCUCUCGAGUUGAGCCUGCAGAUGCCGUACCUCCUCUUGUACCUGGAUGAACUCCUCCUGCAGGCUGAGGAAAAAUGUCUCAUAGUUGCCUCGAUGGAGUUCACACUUGGUCCUCUCGUCCAUGAGCAUCUUCUGCAGCUCCAUCUCGGCCCCGGCAGACAAUCCCGGCAUGAUUGCGGACGUCCCCAGCGGAAAAGACUGCUGGAGGGCCGAGGAGCUCAUGUCACCUCUAAUAGACGUCAAAAAAAAGGACAAAGGCAUUAUUUACUCACUUGGGGGAAAUUGAAGACCAUCAUCAGAGAGAAGCCUUGUCCUCCUUUUCUUCUAUACAUCCAAGUUCUUCCAUUUGCUGGUGCUGGAGUUUUUCCAGAUCAUCUACUCUCUGACGAAGUCGGGCCAUUUCUCUCUGCUCCUCCUCCUCUUGCUAAACAUAGAUGACGAAUUUAAAAUGGGCAAACUGGCACAGAUAAUGGGCAACAUGGUUGGUGAGACGUACUUGGACAUUGGAAAGCAUCAUCUCGGACCCGAGGAACAGGGCAGGGCGGGUGGUCGAGGUGAUUUGGGCCGUGCCGACGCUGAAAGAACCGUUGCUACACAUCAGAAGGCGUCGGAAUUCGUUGUGCCGCUGCUGAUAGUCCAUCAACCUUCUGCGGAGGUCACAAUUGCCUUCAAAUCAGAUGGUUGUGGAAAUGAUCAGGCACGUUUUUUUCUUCUCGGACUCACUUGUUGGCUGAAGCAGCAUCCUGUUUGAGUUCAUCUAUUUGCUCCCUCAGCAUUUGGAUUGUACUAUGCAAGCUCUGCUCUUUUUUCUCCUCCAGGUCUCGCCGCUGCGCAACACAACAAAACGCACUUUUGCUCUAGAACUGGGAGCAAAUAAAUUUUGACGUGGAAGGACCACCUUCUCCUCGGCAGACGCUGCUCUCUGCAGUUUGUCUUUCAGCUGGGUGUAUUUAUCUCCCAGCUUGGCUUCUCGCUCCUUACUGUCCUCCACCAGCCUGGGGGAGGAGCAAGAAUUGGGGUAAGAGAUUUUCACCGACAUGCUGAUUCAAUCGCACCUGUCUGCCCCGCGACGGAUGUUCUCCUCCCGCAUGAUGUCCGCUUUUUCCCUCAGACGAUCAUUUGCUUCCAUCAGCUCCGCUUCAGACCGUGACAGCGCCCCCAGGUGGGAGUAGAGUUCCUGGUUUUUCUAUUGAAGAGGAAGUAAAAACAUUUUAGAAACUCACCACUCGUCUAAAAAUUAUUGUGUUUGUAUAUUUUGAUUUAUCAUAAUGAAGUUUGUCUCCUCACCUCCUUUAAGUCAAUCACUUCUGCUUUGUGUCUCUCCAGCUCCUCCAGAUGAGCACUUUGCUGCUUUAAUUUAGCUCUGACAAGAUCAAAUGUUUGACAUUCAGCCACGUUUAGAGUUCUUUGGGUUGAAACCAGGACAAAAAAAAAAGUUGUCCAGUGAGCUGGUUGUUCUGCUCCAGGCUGAGAUGAAGUUCGCUCUCCAUGCGCUCCAGUCGCAUCGCCAUGCACUGGCGCUCUGACUACAAGCGGCUUCCAUUAAAACAUCUAACUCACCUUCCGGGAUACUAGCGGUCUCACCUCCAGCGACUUCACCAUGGCCUGAGACUCGCUCAUCCACCUCCGCCUGGAGACCUUUCAGCAACAUGGUGAGCUGCGUUUUCUCCUUGAGCAGAAACUCCACUUGCUUCCUUUCGUGCAGCGGAUCUACGUUCUUGAACUGCGCCGCCAGAUUUUCCUUCUCUUUCUUCAGAUGAGCAAUCUAACAGGUUUCACACUUCCCCUGAAGAUCAGACAGCAUGUGAUGAAGCUCCAUCCCGGUCGCAGGAACCAUCGGCAGGUUGGGAGCGUCCAUUUUGAUAUAAACUAUAAAGUAAUAAAUGAGGGAGGCAAGCUUAUGCUAUGUUUUGUGUCCAAACAUCAAAGUUAAUAAGGUGACAUGGGAUCAGAGGUAUGAUGUCAUAAACAGUGGUGCGUUUGAGUGCCUUCUGGUAAAUGGGAAUUCUCAACUUCAUAUGUUGAAAGUGCAAUUUGUUGAAACGUAACAAAUAAUAACAGGAAUAUAAUGCUGUCAAGUGGUUUUAUCGUUGCUUGCAAGUCAGCGAGUACGUUGAUUAAAAAAAAAAAUCCAAUAAAAAAUAACGACGCAUUGAUUCUUGAGUUGUGCAAUAACUUGCCAAUCGUAACUUUAUUCCCUCAUAAAACAAAAAUGAUGCAAUGAUCAUAAAUAAAACACCAAAAGAGGUUUAAUGGAAAAAAAUUCGAUUGUUGAAACAUAAUGUGCACAACAGCAAGUCUCCAAAUUUACAGGGAAUCAUUGUAAACAGAUUUAUUACAAAAAAAUGAUAGAAAGUGGGCCAAAAAAAAAUAUCACUAAGCCGGCUGUAAAAACAACUCUUGGUACUUGGAUUUGAUUAAUAAUAAAAAAUAAAA